UUUUUUUUUUUUUCUUUUUACAGCUGCACCUGGGCACAUGGAAAUCCCCAGGCUAGGGGUCCCGGGCAGGCUUACACCACAGCCACAGCAACAGGAUCCAAACAUAUGUAUGACCUAUGCGGCAGCUUGUGGCAACCCUGUUUUUUAACCCACUUAGCGAGGCCAGGAAUUGAACCUGCAUCCUCAAGGAGACUACAUCAUGUUCUUAACUCUCCGAGCCACAACAGGAACUCCAAUAACAGCUGAUCACAGUGGAUCAGGGAUGUUCAGCCUUCCUUGUGAGGGAGACUCUGAAGGCUGCAAGGCAUUGCUGUCAUGAGUAGCUAUGUGCCCUUAGACAUGUAGACAUGGGAGUGGCAUGCGGAUACAGAUCCUGGCAGUAGAAAGAAUCUAUUGGAACAAACCUGCUCCAGCGUCCAUUCUCUUGAACUUGCUCUAUACCUACAAGCUCUGGCACAGAUGAAUUUAUUUCUUGAGUUUCUCCCCUCUAAGGAAUCCUGUGAAAGUAGCAGAGGCCCUAUCUUAGGAUAGCUUCUCUCUUAGUCUUACAUUCUGCUUUCUCUGCAAUGCAGUUGAUGGCUGGGGUUUCAUAAAUCAACUGGGAGUUCAGUGGUAUGAAAAUAAAUGCGAUACCAAAUGCUUUCAGAACAGAAUUUAGUUACAUCCCUUGUGGCGCCAUCAAAAAUCCUGUCACCAACAGAAAUUCUAGGUCUGUUUGUUUAAGGAUAUAAUGUGCCCGUCUGUGUAUCAUACAUGUAAAUAGGCAGCAAGGUACCCUAAUACAGACUGCUGUAUCAUUGGCACUCUAUCUAAUGCACCAUUAUAUCCGGCCCUAUGACUGUGUGAGAUUAGAAUCUUCUGUAAAAACAGUGACAAUUUCGUACAAUUUAACCCUCAUAUAACGUAGUAAUUUAUAAAAUGGGAAUUACACUUGUUUUCACUGGUAAACAUAAUAAGGGGAGUCCUCCAUGUUACAUAAAAAUGAAAACUAACAGAAUUUAAAAGUAUCUAAAUUGGGAUGGAUUUUUAUAAUCAUCUAGGCAAUAACAAUUUCCAUUUUACUUUUUUUUUCCAGCCAUGAUUAAAUCCUACCAAGAACAGUGACAUCACAAGUUAAUAAGAAAGCUUACAGAGUUUCCAUUAUUAUUUCAAUAAUAUUUGAAUCAUUACCUCUCUCGUUGGAUGUGAAUCCAACAGGACUUUCCCCUACUACAUAGGAGUUUUGUACCCAGAAAUUCUCAAUAUAGCCAAAUCUGGAACAAAAACUCUAAAUAUAAAGUCUUUUCCUUGUUCUUAAUAAUACUCCUUUAGAUUUCAAUGUUUUAGAUCAGACUAAGGAAUUGCCUUUUAUUUCUUACCAGGUAAGACACAUGCCUAAGAAAAAACAACCUGUCAAAAUUGGAUGAACCAUGUUACUCAAGCAAAGGACCAGGCCAUUGCCCAGGGAUGGUGAUUAUAGGUUGCAGUAUAGAAAAUUAAUAUUUGCAAAGCAAUGGAAAAUUUGCUAUGCUAAGCUGUCCUAACAGUAGGUUUUAUGAUUAGAAGAUGUGUACUUUAAUGGACAAAUUUUGGACUUGAUGUUAAAAAGUCAUAAAUUAAUUUUCUAAUUUGGCAUCUAUCUUGCUGGUGAUCAUGUACAGGGCACUUAAUUGCUUUGCUCCAUCACCUACGGAAAUAUGACCACUCUGAUUUUUAAAGGACCAUUUAAAUUACAUAUACAACAAAUACAUUUAUGUGGAGAUACAAAGGGAAAAUUAUAAAACAAAAUAUCCACCUGCACAUCAUCUAGGUCACGUGUUACUUUUAGGAAUAUUUAAUCUUCCUAUGCCUGCUCUUUUUUUUUCUCUUAAAAUGGAUGCUGUAAUAGUAUUUACAUCUUUGACUUGCUAGGAGGAAUAACUAGACAAUGCUUAUAAAUCACUUAGCACAGUAUUUGACACCUAAUAAUGCUUAGUGAAUAUUACUUUUAUGAUUAUUAUUUAUUACUUAAAAUGCCCAGCAAAAGAUGAAACUUUUUCUAAUGUUGAGGAUAAUUUCCAAGAUAAAACAAUGGCCUUUGACUACAAUUUGAUUGUGAAGUAAAAAAAGAAAAAAAAAUGAGCCAUGGAAUAAUCCUUGGAAAAAGAGUAACAAGAAGCAAAUGGCUUAUUUGGCUAUAUAAAAUUAUAUUUACAUAAAAAUUCUUUACAAUUGCUUUUCCACUACACAGCUUUUCUCCGAAGUCUCAUAUUUUUCUCUGAGACCUCUUAACAGAGCUGCCAAAUAGUAACAGUAGUUUGAAAUGCUGUUUUGAAAACUAUAAAUAAUGUAGGCUCCAGGGGGGAAAUAAAGGGUACAAUUUACCUGUCUGUUCUGAUUAGAGGUGCUAAUUGAACGUGAAGGUAUCUGUGCAUAAAAAUGUUACAUUCCAAUGAGAGGGGAAAAAAUACAUUUUUAAAAACUUACUCUAGAUUCAUAAAGGCAAAUGAAAUUUUAAAAGCCUUCUAGUACAAAGCUUUUAUUUAAGGUUUGAGUACUUUCUGGAACAUUCCUGCUGCUAUAGCUGGUCAUUCAGAUUAUAUUUGCAUGCCAAUGACUGGAAAUGUUUCACUUCCUAAAUCAUGCCAUGCUAUAGCUGAGGAAUAGGGGAGCCAUGGAAGAAGCACAGCUCUUUGGACUGGCAUACUCUGGGUUUGUAUUCUGGCUCUAAGCAAUGCGUAUUGAGUGUCCUUCAUAAAAACAGUCGUGCUAAGACUCAUUAUGUGUAAGAUAGUGACCAUCUCUGCCUCUGACAGUUUUCUGUGUUAACUUGACUAAACCAGUUAUUAUUUAUUUCUCUGUUUGUUUGUUUUUGUUUAUUAUGGCCGUACUCACUGCAUAUGGAAGUUCCCAGGCCAGGGAUGGAAUCUGAGCUGUAGCUGCAACCUACGCCACUGCUGUGGCAACCUUGGAUCCUUGACCCACUGGGCCAGGCUGGGGAUCAAACCUGCACUGCCACAGAGACAAGGCCAGCUCCCUAACCCACUGCACCACAGCAAGAACUCCUAAGCCAGUUAUUUAAUUAAACAGGAAUUGAGGAGUUGUUCUCAAAGUAUUUCCCAGAUGUGGCUAACAUCUACAGUCUGUUGACUUUGAGUAGAUUAUCCUAAAAAAUGUGUGGGGGUCUCAUCCAAGCAGUUGGAACACCUAAAGAGCAAAAACUGAUGUUUCCUCAGGAACAAGGUCUGCGUCAAGACCGCAGCAACUCCUGCUGAGUGUCAAGCCUACUGGCGUACUCUGCAGAUUUUAGACUCAAGACGAUAAUAGUAACUCCUGGCAAAGUUCCUAGCUUGCUGGCCUGCCCUACUGAUUUUGAACUUGCUGCAUCUAUCUAUCUAUCUAUCUAUCUAUUAUCUAUCUAUAUAUCAUUUAUAUGUGUACAUAUAUAUACACACACAUACACAUAUGUAUACAUUUAUUUAUUUCUUUGGUCUUUUCAGGGCCAUGCUCGCAGCAUAUAGAAUUUCCCUGGAGAGGGGUCGAAUAGGAGCUGCAGCUGCUGGCCUACACUACUCCACAGCCACAGCAACACAGGAUCUGAGCCAUGUCUGCAACCUAUACCACCGCUCAUGGCAACACUGGAUCCUUAACCCACUGAGAGAGGCCAGGGAUCAAACCCACGUCCUCAUAGGUACCAGUUGGGUUCGUUACUGCUGAACCAUAACAGGAACUCCAUAUAUGUAUUAAUUUAUAUGAAGGAAUUUUAAAAUCUUCUGGGAAAAAUAUAAAUUCCAUCUUAUUCUCUUCACAAUCAUGUUUAAAUCUCAUUAGGAAUAGUGACAUCAAAAAUUUCUAAGAAAGCUCAUGACAUUUCCGUUGGGUUCAUAACAAUAUUUGAAAUACUGUAUACACAAAUACAUUAUAUGUAUAUAAACACAUAUACAUACUGUGUAUACGUGUGUGUGUGUGUGUGUGUGUGUACAUAUAUUUGUAGCGCCUAUGGGAUAACAUAUGCUAUUGGCUCUGUUUCUCUGAACCCUGACUGAUAGAGUAUAUCACAGGGUAUCUUUUCUUGGGAUAAAAAUGCACUCAAAACAUCUGACUCCCCCAUGGCCCCUUUCCAAAUAUCUAAAAAUUACCUUCCUGUACCUUCCUUCUUCUGUUGGUCAAAGUUCUAAUACAGUAAAUGCAAGACCUGAUCCUAGACCAUAUCUGAUACUAUACAUAGUAUUAGUAAAUCAACUGACAACUUGGAUGUGGACUGUAGAUUAGGUGAAUGUAGAUUCAAGUAUUGCCUUUAAUAAAUACACUGCAUUUAUGUAAGAGAAUAUGCUCACUUUUAGGAAAUACACACUGAAGUAUUAAAGGGUAAAGGAGCAUGACAUAUGCAGUGUACUCUCAGAUGUUUCUGGAAAAUAUGUAAUAUACAAUGAAUCAUAAAGCAAAUGUUGAAAAUGUCAACAACUAUUGACUCUGAGUAAAGCAAACAGAGAAACCCUUUGUUCUAUCCUUGUAACUUUUCUGUAUGCUCAAAAAUGUUUUAAAAUAAAAAGAUUUAAAAGUAAGAAAAAUGGCAUCGAUCGACUCGAUGUAAAGUCCUUGGCCUUAUUAGCACCUUUCUCAUGCACCUGAACUAACCUGAACUAGCUGACAAUAUGCUUUGCUAAGCUUGAAGGCUUUAGCCUAUCGGGCUCAUUGACAAUCCUGUUCCUCACACACAGGGUCACAUUCAAAGUGGCAAGAGGGGGUCGGCAGACAAGGUGAUCAGAAUGGAGUGCGAAGGUGCAGAAGCAUGUGGUCAUAUUUCCAUCACCGUUUUAUAUUCUCAUAGGUUAAUGACUUAAUAUUAGUUUCAAGACUGGAUAUAGUUUGAUAACACAAACUCGACAAACUUGGUCUGCUUUUUUCUUUAAAACAUACUCGCCAUGUAUGUAUCAUUUGAAGAUACUCCUUAGGUUCCACCUUGUUAAGGAUUUCUCCUGAGGGAGAUGAGGCAGCAAGAGAACCCCAAAGGCCCCAUUUGAUGAAAUAUCUCUCCCCCAACCCCCGCCGAGGGCCAUUUACUUUGGGAAAUUUUAAGGAGGUUGUCAUCAAUGCAGGCCAUAACUUGAGCAGAAACACAUUUCAUAGACAGUGGACUUGACCCAGACGACUACUGCAAAGGUACAACUUCCAGAGAAGCUGUCCUGUCAUGUUCUCUGAUGCGACUAAUUGUGCUUCACCUAAUAGAAAGAAAAGCCAUGCAGAUCCUGCUGUUUCCAGAGCUAACCUGGAAUCUUCCAUAUCUCUCAAAACUCAGUUUCCUGGGAAACACACGUUUGGUUAGAUACCUUACAAGGUCAAGUCCAAUGAACAAAAUUGAAAGGGAUCUGCCUUUUCAUUUGUCUACCUCAGAGUUGUCUCUGGACGUACCUCUUGUGGGCACUUUACUCUCUCUUCUUGCUAUCUGAAUGCAUGCCUAUGUCCCCACAAUGCACAGGAGGUCCAAUCAGAAAGUUGAAACCCGAAUUUGGUUCAGAAACUUGCCUGAUGCCUCUUCAGAAACUGCAGGACUUGAGUAAGAAUAUCUCUUACUACCUGUGAACUUACCCCCUGCCCCCACCCUCCUGAGUCAUCCAUGGUCCCUUGUGCCCUGAGUAAGCUAUGACCAUUAUUCAUCCCUCCGCCCCCCACAAAGCAGAACCUGCAUCAUGAUUCCUCACAACAGGACAGCCGUCAACAUCUGAACAUGCUGUACUGACUGCUGCCCCACUGUACGUCUGUCUACCUUGGGCAAAUCUGUCACCAAAGAGCAGAGGAAAAGUUAAAGAACUGUAUUACUCAUAGCUUCAGAGUGCAGGGAGGAACUAAAGCAUGGGUUCUUCUUCCAGAUUUCCAGAUGGUGCAAAAAGUCCCAUGUGUGAGCGAGGGCAGAGCUGUCUUCAUAACCAUACCUUUUCUGCUAUGGCAAAGUUCCAAACUGUCUCAGUUUUGACUCCACAGUUAAGAUGCUUCACAAGUCUCUUUUCUUUUUUAAUUCUAUUUUUGUGGCUCUUGCUGAGGGUUUAAAUCCAUUAGAAUGCUACCCUUUUUCUCCCUUCAACUCUUUUUCAUUCUCUAUCUAAUUGACCCUACAUAUAGCUGCCUCAUUCAUUUUUCUUCAUUUUCC
ensembl:lncRNA